CCGUGCUAUUUUGGUAACUCUCGAAGGCUCUGAGCGCCGUCUCGGUCAACUUGACGUGUAAAACGGUGACUCUGUCAGCGCCCUGCUGGCCACUAACUAAUCCGUAGCUCCCAUCCUCGGAGAGCGCCGCCAUGUUUAGCAGCCCUCCACCAUCACCGUCACCGACACCGUCACCAUCGUCCCUGCGAGGCAGCAGCAUUUAGCAGGCCGGCGGCCCGGGGAGGGACUACAGCUGCUCCUGACAGGCCUGCUGGCUCCUCUCGAUUGGCUUCUGUAUUCUUGCCUCUUCACAUCAACUCAGUCUCCUUCUUUUCCCGACCUUCCUUUUCAACUGUCAUCAAAGUUAAAAUGCUAAUGUAUUUCUUCUCAAACCUGCAUUAUUGUGCAGCUGUUCCAAACACUUUUAAAUGGACAAGAAGUAUUUCCCUCUAGUUGAAGUAGUCAUUCCAAGCAGUUUUAAACGGAUAAGAAGUAUUUCCCUGUAGUUGAAGUAGUCAUUCCAAGCACUUUUAAACGGAUAAGAAGUAUUUCGCUGUAGUUGAAGUAGUCCUUCCAAAAUGUAGUUCUUGGUAGACCUGCCUGUGCCUGCAGAGUUUUGCUGACAUGCUAGAACUAAUUCUAGCCUCCAGCGGCUGCUUUGCUCAGCACGGGCCUCACUCUCCACACGUUUACUUUGUUUACAAGACUAAAAAUAACAAUAAUCCCACUUGGAAUUUGAGGCAAUUGAACUGUCGUCUGCUUCUUCGCCUAUAACCAAGUCUAAUGCGUUCGAUUGUUGCAUUCGUACAGCCGCUAAAGUCAGUGAGCAUGACAGAUGAUGCGUUAUGAUGUUUUUCUUUCCUUUAGUGACAUACACUAUACAUCUCAACAUGAGGUAUGCACUAGAGGUGGGCGAUAAUACAUAUUUGACUUUACAUCUCAUUCUAAGAAUUUAGUUUUUUUUUGUCUUUUAGUUAUCCGUUCCAAAAGGUCUGACAAAGCCCGAAUGGAACGAUAACCGAAGCAACUUCUCCGACAGCCCUGUGAUGAGGUGGCGACUUGUCCAGGGUGUACACCGCCUUUCGCCCAAAUGCAGCUGAGAUAGGAUCCAGCGCCCCCCACGACCCCAAAAGGGACAAACGGUAGAAAUGGAUGGAUGGAACUUUUCAGACAAGUAAUAAGGUGGUGGUCAACAAAAAGAUUUCUGGAGCCUUAUCUCAAUGACACGUGCCUGCUGUGACCUUUAAGCAACACUAUUAGGAGAGGCGUGAGACUGAACCAGUUGGGCAGGCUGUUGGAACCAUUGAAACCACAAAAAGGAUAAAAGUCUCGUCAGAGUUCCUGGAGAGGUAACUAAGAAGGGCGAAAGAGGUCAAGAUGGUCCAAAAAAAGCCCAGGAGGAAAAUGGCACACAGUCCAGUCCUUCCAGUGACCACUUUGUUGAAGAAGUUGCCAGAAAUGAUGAGAAUUGUUGAUCAUUGGACGCCCUGAAGAGCAGACGAGCAGUACCUGUCGGACCAGCUGGUAGUCCAAGUCCCGGGCGAUGCCGGCAGCAGCUUCCUGGCCGCCCGGGAUCUCCACGGCCCACUCGUUGAGGUACUGACGCUCCAGGGAAGGCGAGCCCGCCGCGCAGCAGCAGGAGAAGAAGAAGCAGGAGGCCGCCAGCAGGCAGCACAUCGCCGCCAGGACACGUCGCUCGUCCAUCGCGGAGGAAAGUCAGGCAGGUGGACAACAAUCACAGGAACUGAAUCAAUCCUCCGUGAAGGAAACACACGUAGUGAUGGUGCACCCACGGCUGAUGUGUGUGUGUGUGUGUGUGUGUGUCAAAUCACGGCUGCUAUGACGUCAAUAAAACCCGGCAGUCCCUUGAGGGAGCGCGUGGGCGGGAACUCUGAAGACACGUCAAGUCAUAGAAAUAGAAAUCCUUCCCUGCAAGUAAUAACAUGAAACAUGGCCGCCUUUCAUCCUCCUUCUUAAUAAUAAUAAUAAACAAUAAACAAGAAUAUCUGCGGCUUCAGCACCGCGGACAGCUCCCCGAUGCAUGCUGGGAAAAGUCAAUGUUGCACAUCUGGAAAGAAAAGAGAGAGAAACAGCUGCUGUGUGGAAGUAAUAUUUGAAAACACUCCCUGAGAUUUUUAUUUUAUUUGUUUAUUUUUUCUUAGUUUAUUUGGAACAUGACAUACAUACAAGAUUAUACAUCAGGUCAUUUCAUCAUUUGGCAAUACACAAUACAUCAUGUCCGAAAAGGAGUAGGAAGAAGCAAAGUUUAUUUAAUCCUACUUCUUUUCCACUUCAGAGCGCCCACAAAUAUAAACAUUCAUUCACUGACCUUCUUUACAGCAAAAUAUCAAAAUGACAUCUAUGAGUGAUUAACACAGCAGUUUUCUAACAUGUACUUCAUUAAUUCAGUCAUUAUUAACAUACUAAGAUGAAGAAUAUCUUAGUUUCAAUAAGUUUGAAAGUGUUUCUCAUAAUACUUCUUCUUUGUACUUUGUAAGCACUAUUCAUUGAAACUUCCUCUUAAAGUGGAUCAUAUCAGAACAAUGUUUAACUUCUCUACUUCAUCCAUUCCAUCAUUUAAUUCCACAUACUGAUAUGUUAAAAGUUUGAAGUGUUGUACGUGCAUACAAAUGUUUGAAGUUAGAUUUUCCUCUAAGGUUAUAUUUCUCCUCUUUAGCUGAGAAGAAUUGUUGUACAUUCUUUGGUAGCAGCUUAUAAUUUACUUUGUACAUCAAUUUAGCUGUUUGCAAUUCUAUCAAGUCAUCGAGCUUUAAUAAUUUUGACUCAAUAAAUAAAGGGUUUGUAUGUUCUCUAUAUCCAACAUUGUGUAUUAUUCUAAUCGAUCUUUUUUGUAACACAGUUAUCGAAUGUAGCGCACAUUUGUAGUUGUUUCCCCAUAUUUCUGCACAAUAACUCAGAUAUGUAACACUAGCGAGCAGGAGAGAAUUUCAUGUGUUAAAGCAGAGGUCUCAGACACGCGGCCCGCAAGACGUUAUUUUGCGGCCCCCACCUUAUUAUGAAAGUGUAAAGUUAGCGCGGCCUUCAUUAUAUGAAUGGCGCUUGAUGGCGUCGUGGGCGGAGCCGAAGGAAUCUACCAAUCACAGUCGAGCGGCCCGGUAGCUUCCGAAGCACUCCGCUGAAGGACUGAGCGACAAUACAAAACUUUGGUGCACUGGACCUCAGCGCUGAAACUCCAGCAGAGAGUCGCUGGGCGAAUCACACGUGCAACACGUUAGCCCAUACAGGGCUAAUUGUGCUACCGUAACUGUAAACUCCACAACAUGCUCAUUACCACAUUC